AUCCCCACAUCAUUACCUUUCCAUUGAUAUAUAAUAAGACCACAUUCAUAAUCAAUACAUUUCUCCUUUAAGGAACAGCUUCAUAAAACACCAACCAGCUUGCCUUCCAAAUCAAUUGCAGAGGAAGUACUGCAGAGGAUCAAACCUGGCGACUCACAUAUAAGGCAAUGACAAGAAUUUAGGAAAGCAACAGGAGAUAUCUAAAGACUGUCCAAUAUCAGUUUUCCUGAAAACUUGAUACCUCCAGUGUGUUGACCCAUCAACAAAUUUACUAUAUGUGAAGUGUGGCAUGCAAAGUCUUCAAGUAAAUCAUGAAUAUUAAGUUAAUACUCCAUUAAAAGUGUGCUUAUUAUUAUCUCACAUGAUUUUUUCAGAGUGUAUUUUUUGCAUGAUGUGAUGAGUGUUCCUCUACAAUUUUUCUUCUUUGAAAAUACCCAAAUGAAAAUACAUGCAUUUGUACUUACCCGGUACAUGGUAUGGACUCAACACAAAGAACACUUGAAAUACAUUCAGACGUUUUGUUGUUGUUGAUAUUUACUAUUAUCACAAGCAUACAUAAUUACAAUACUAUAAUAAUAUACACAAAAAAAAUUCAUGUAUGUGUACUGUAUGUACAUCUCAGAAAUACAGUAAAUUUCUACCUUUGUCAAUUCAGUACAAAAUAUAGAAAUGGUUUAGUCCAGACAUGGUGCAGCAAAGCUCAGUAAGAUAUUGUUUACAAAGUCAAUGGGAUUUGAGGCAACCAACAAUGGAUUGUAGAAAGACAGGGACAUUAUUUUUGCUGCCUGGCUACAACUUAAGAGGACUACUACUUAAUUCUUGAACAGUAUAAGUAAGAUGUUUCAUGUCCAAAAUGUACAUACUUGAAACAAAACAAAAAACAUCUUGGGACAUAUUUUGAUUAUCAAAUCAUUAUAGGUAACUGUGACAUGAUUUCUUUCAGUACAGCUAUAGACAAUUUUAGAUUUAACCCAUAUGAAGCACAUUUGGCACAAUAUAUCUCACUCUGUUAGAACACUGUAAAAAUAUUACUGAGUUUGCCACAAUAUUUCUGGAAAAAGACAUAAAGGAAUGUGAAUCACCCGAAACAUUCAAAUUAGAGAAAUAUGAAGUUAUAGUAGAUCAAUGAAUAUGAUGGACCAUUGACUUAAAUGGUUAUUUAACUUGCAUGAAAACAGCAUAGGCAAAGUAGACUACGGUAGAUGAAAUUGGCAAACACAUUACUUCACAAAUAUACAUGUACGGAGGGAGAACAUAUCAGUAACUAUGGAAUGCUUUGGACUCUCCAUCCUAAGUGCUAACAAAUAUAUAAAAUUAACAUUAUAAUCUAUAGAAAGAAAUGCUAUUGUAAUUCAUGGGGAUAGCUACUGUAAUACAUAUACAUCCAUGCCAUAACAAUGGUACUCAACAAAAUUAUCACCAUUUAUAUAGUUUAGUGGUAUACAAUCUGAGUGAACUAUAAACCCUAAGCCCACCCCACCAAUGGUGAAAUUCACAGAUUGCUAGUUCAAUAAUAUAUAAUCUGAGUGACCACCAUCCCCCCCCCCCAUUUAAGUAAAUAAAGAUUAAAAUGUGAAGGGGACAUAAUUUUUUUUAAAUACGUGUCAUUUAAUCAAGUGUCGGUGAUGACCAUAUAACCUAUACAAAACUUUAAAUUAGAAUUAAAAACAAAGGCCUGAAUUCACAAAGAAACUAAUUUCAAAAUGGUUUUCUCGAUUCAAAUCACAUAGAAGUGGUUUAAAAUGAAAUUU